UAAGUAGGUGGAGGAGGUGACACAAACUGAGACUCCAGAAGUAGUUGCGAAUGAAUGUGGAGCUGCUCAGCUUGAAAUCUGUUAGGCACCUGCCACUGACAUGAAACUUCUGAGUGUGUUGUCAAUGGAGGUGCAUGUGUUAGCCACUUUGGAAAGGGGGAGGUAGGUAUAUACAAGGGUGAGAAUCCAUCUUGUCACUUGCUUUGCCUCUGUGUACUGCACAGGUAUUCCAGAAUCAUGCUCUUUGGAAGUGGAGUGUAAAGGGGGUGGUAGAUUUCAUCCAAAGGUGACCACAAUGCUGAGACCGACAGUGAAGAAGUACCAUGAGGGAAGUGUGAAAAGGACUUUGGAAAGAGAACCAAAAGAGCCUGCACUUGCUGAAGGGCAAGCACACAGGAUAGCAGAGUUUGGGAAUACUGCUGGAUGUUGAGCAGGGAGUGCGCAAGCAUGUCUGUUAAGCAUCCGGAGCUUCCUUCCAUGCAUGCCAGUAGCAACAGGGGCAGUCUGUGACUGUGGGACUGCUUGAGUGUGUUUUGGCCACAUCAUCUGCGAGCUGCGUGAACUUGUUGACGUUGUAAUGCAUUAUGUAUUCUAACCAAGGUGUCCUUGAGGAGAGCUCCAAGAAUCAAGUAGUGCCGUUCUGGCAAACUUGUUCUGUGUGACCCG
rnacentral:rRNA from 1 species